rnacentral:misc_RNA from 1 species
GAUGAAGAACGCAGCGAAAUGCGAUAAGUAAUGUGAAUUGCAGAAUUCAGUGAAUCAUCGAAUCUUUGAACGCACAUUGCGCCCGCCAGUAUUCUGGCGGGCAUGCCUGUUCGAGCGUCAUUUCAACCAUCAAGCCCCAGGCUUGUGUUGGGGACCUGCGGCUGCCGCAGGCCCUGAAAACCAGUGGCGGGCUCGCUGUCACACCGGGCGUAGUAGCAACACCUCGCCCAGGGAGUGCCGCGGGCACCGGCCGUAAAACCUCCUCUCGCCCCCCCCCCGCGGGAGGGAACACCCCAAAGGUUGACCUCGGAUCAGGUAGGAAGACCCGCUGAACUUAAGCAUAUCAAUAAGCGGAGGA